UUCUCUUCGGAGACAUCCGAUAAAAUUAAAACGAUAUAAAGAAGAUUAGUAUGGCCCCUGCAUAAGGAUGACACGUACAAAUCGAGAAAUUUUUCCUUAUUAU